AGACCAUGGUGAGGGUACUUGUUCAAAAGUCCCUUGAAUUGGUCCCAUGUCUCGUAGAAAGACUCCCCUGGCUGCUCAUUAAAUGCAUAAAUAAGAUUUCUAAGACG
rfam:Helianthus annuus linkage group 17, whole genome shotgun sequence.